rnacentral:rRNA from 1 species
UACGUAGGGUGCAAGCGUUAAUCGGAAUUACUGGGCGUAAAGCGUGCGCAGGCGGUUUUGUAAGUCUGUCGUGAAAUCCCCGGGCUCAACCUGGGAAUGGCGAUGGAGACUGCAAGGCUAGAAUCUGGCAGAGGGGGUAGAAUUCCACGUGUGAGCAGUGAAAUGCGUAGAUAUGCGGAGGAACACCGAUGGCGAAGGCAGCCCCUUGGACAGACUGACGCUCAUGCACGAAGCGU